rnacentral:rRNA from 1 species
UACGUAGGGUGCAAGCGUUAAUCGGAAUUACUGGGCGUAAAGCGUGCGCAGGCGGUUUUGUAAGUCUGUCGUGAAAGCCCCGGGCUUAACCUGGGAAUGGCAUUGGAAACUGGCUCGCUGGAGUGUGGCAGAGGGGGGUGGAAUUCCGCGUGUAGCAGUGAAAUGCGUAGAGAUGCGGAGGAACACCGAUGGCGAAGGCAGCCCCUGGGCUAACACUGACGCUCAGGCACGAAAGCGUGGGGAGCAAACAGGG